GGACCGGUGGUGUAGUGGUAACACGUUGUGUCCGGAUGCGAAGAGGAGUGGUUCGACUCCCUCCUGGUUCA
rnacentral:tRNA from 1 species